GAUGAACGCUAGCGAUAGGCUUAACACAUGCAAGUCGAGGGGCAGCACAAGGUAGCUUGCUAUCUGGGUGGCGACCGGCGCACGGGUGCGUAACGCGUAUGCAACUUGCCCUAUACAGGAGGAUAACCCGUCGAAAGACGGACUAAUACUGCGUAUGCUCACAACUUGGCAUCAAGUGGUGAGGAAAGAAAUUCGGUAUAGGAUAGGCAUGCGUCCCAUUAGCUUGUUGGUGAGGUAACGGCUCACCAAGGCAACGAUGGGUAGGGGAACUGAGAGGUUUAUCCCCCACACUGGUACUGAGACACGGACCAGACUCCUACGGGAGGCAGCAGUGAGGAAUAUUGGUCAAUGGGCGCGAGCCUGAACCAGCCAAGUCGCGUGAAGGAUGACUGUCUUAUGGAUUGUAAACUUCUUUUAUACGGGAAUAACAAGAGUCACGUGUGACUCCCUGCAUGUACCAUAUGAAUAAGCAUCGGCUAACUCCGUG
rnacentral:rRNA from 1 species